CACUGGCCGAGUGGAUGGAGUUUGAAGCGAAAGGUACCGGGUUCGAGUCCCAGAGUGAA
rnacentral:tRNA from 1 species